CAAUACCAAUGUAAAGUUACGAUUGAUCGUUGAUCGUAGCCGAUCGUAUGAACUUUACGAUCAAUGAAGUCCGUUAGACAAUUAGGCCCAAGUAUUUUAAAGUUGAACUUCUAUCCAAAUUAAUGGCACAGAUACAAAAUAUUUCAAAAGAUAUUUUCGGAUAUUUUUCACGCUGCUACGAAAUGUCAAAAUCAUAAAAUCUUAGUGGAUUUGUGCCAGAGAAAUCUAGCAGAUGUGAAAAAUUGUGAUGUUCACGGUGUAUAAAACCAAUGAUAUUAAACACUUUGUGUGCUGAUAAAAGUGUAUCUCGAACAUUUGUUGGUGCACACCUUCUUGGAGCAACAAUAGGACUUGAAGUUGAUGAUUUAACAUUUUCGUUAGUGAGGAGGUGACCGGAGAUGAGCUCGCCGCCGCCGAUGCAGCUCGAGGUGGAGGUCAGCGACGAGUCCAUGGAGGUGGAUGCCGCCGACAUGAUACCGGCUGACAGGUUCACAUUGCCGGCGCGAGCUGACGCUGUGGUGGAGCUAUGGCGCGCCAAGUUGGCGGAAGGCGUGCUCUCGCCAGCGCACUUCCAGGACCACUGGCGGGUCACCGUGCCCAGGAUAUACUCCCCGCAGCCCAACAGGACUUGUUUGGACUGGUCCUUCGACGAGGAGUUGGCGGCAAAGCUGCUGAUCCAGCCGCUGGAGCAGUUCGUGUGGGGCGCGGCCGAGAGCUCGCAGCCGCCGCCGCCGCGCCGCUCCACGCUCUGCGGCAAGGUGUUCAAGCAGGGCGAGCCGGCUUACAGCUGCAGGGAGUGCGGCAUGGACAACACGUGCGUGCUGUGCGUGGAGUGCUUCAAGGUGUCGGCGCACCGCCACCACAAGUACAAGAUGGGGCAGUCGGGCGGCGGCGGGUGCUGCGACUGCGGGGACACCGAGGCGUGGAAGCGGGACCCCUUCUGCGAGCUGCACGCUGCUCCAGACAGCGAAGAGCAGGCGCAGGCCAGCAUCAGCCCGGAGGUGACGGAGCGCAUGAAGAUCGUCGCGUCCGUCUGUCUGUCGUACUGCUUCCGCCUGCUCACGCUUGACCACGCGCCCGGAUUGCCCAACGACUUGAUAUUAAAAGACGCUGAGAGAGACUUGCUACAGAUACUGGACCAACCGGACUGUUACUGCACUGUGUUGUACAACGAUGAAACACACACUUUUGAACAGGUGAUAACAACCUUGAUGCGGGUGAUAAAAUGCAACAAGCGCGACUCGGUGGAGCUGGUCAGCCUCAUCGACCGCGAGGGGCGCGCGCUCGUCAAGUGCAACUCCUUCCAGAUCUGCGACAAGUUGAAGACUGACAUUGAGAUGUUCACGUCGCGGCACGGGCCCGCGCUCAAGGUGCUGGUCAUGCACGCGCACGUCGUCGCGCACCAGACCUUCGCCAUGAAGCUGCUCAACUGGCUCCAAAACUUCGUGAGCCAAGAGCAAAGUCUCCGGUUAGCUGUCAGCCAAUUGGCUCUGGGGGAGGAAUCUGGCUUGGCGGGCUGGGCUCUAGCCGGCACCACGGGAGGAGUGGCUGCCGGGGUGAUGCAGAACGACUGCCAUAUGUGGAAGGCUGCUCGGACUGCAUGGCACCGGCUACUUAUAGCUACAACUCUUAUGGACUCCUCUACUAAGAGGACUAUGGCUAUAUUGUUUACCAAAAAUUAUGGUUCAAUCCUAAAGGACUUCAUCCGCGACGACCACGACCACUCGUUCUCGAUAUCGUCGCUGUCGGUGCAGCUGUACACGACGCCCACGCUGGCGCACCAUCUCAUCGCGAAGCACGACGCGCUGUUCGUCGUCAUGAACACGUUCGUGAGCGAGUGCAACAGGAGAUGUAACGCCGAGGGUCGGUUGGAGUUCGAUCGUAACCACGUGUCGAUGGCCUUCAAGCGCGCUCAGUUCGUGUUGUACGACGUAAAGUACUUGCUGGGUUCCGUGCCCACCACCUUCGACGAUGACCUUCGGAAGGGCUUCCUCCACGGGCUGUCACUGAUGCUGAACUUGCUUGUCAUGAUGCAGGGGAUGGAUUCGGUUGUGAGACAAAUCGGCCAGCACAUGGAGUACGAGCCGGAGUGGGAGUCAGCGUUCAAUCUCCACGUGAAGUUAGCGCAGAGCAUCACCCUGGCGCUGGAGUGGAGCAGCUCGGAGCGCACGCUCGCCGCUUCCGCCUACCGCAUGGCUCUGCGCAGGCACGCGGAGACGUGCGCCAAGCGCGCCAGCGAGCUCAGAGAACUGGGCAAUCAAAGCGCAUCAGUGAUCCCAUACGACGUGUCCAAGGAGCCGGUGUCUGUGCACCGGCCGCUGUCGCGGUUCAUCGCUGGAUUGCACCUGCAGCUGUACCGGCACGGCUUGUCGUACCACAGCCGCGAGUUCGAGCGCCAGGACCGACCUAAACCCACGCCUGAAGAGCUGAUAGAGCCGGUGCUGUGCACGAUGGCCAUGAUAGCGCAGGUGCACGCCGGCAUGUGGCGGCGCAACGGGUUCGCUCUGCUCAACCAGCUCUACUUCUACCACAACGUCAAGUGCCGCACCGAGAUGUUCGACAGGGACAUCGUCAUGCUGCAGAUUGGUGCAUCACUGAUCGAGAGCAACGAGUUCAUAAUCCACGUGCUGAACAAGUUCAACUUGCUGGAGUGGGCGGCGGCUGACUUCGAGCAGAAGUCCAUAGAAGACGACACCUUGAGGUACACCAUCAGCAUGGUGGAGGAGUUCCUCGGACUCUUGAUAACUGUUGUGGGCUCCCGCUACGUCCCAGGCGUGGGCGAGGUUUGCAACGAAGAGCGAACCAAAAAGGAGAUCAUACAGAUGCUAUGUGUCAAACCUAUGCCACACUCUGAGCUUAAUAGAUCUCUCCCCGAGGAUCAGUUGCACGAGACUGGUCUUGAAGCAGUGAUCCACGAAGUUGCCGACUUCGUGAAGCCGACGAGCGGCAACAACCGCGGCGUGUACAAACUCAAGCCGCACCUGUUCGACGAAUACGACACCUUCUUCUACCACUACACCAGGGAGGAGCUCUCCAGGAGCGAGGAGGAACAGAGGAACAGGAGGAAGUCUGCUGGUUUGCCAGAGUGCUGUCCGCCGCCGCCCCUGCCGAAGCUGGCGGCCCCCUUCAGAUUGCUGGCCAACCUACUGCAGUGUGACGCCGCGCUGCAUGUGCUGCGCUGCGUGCUCGAGAGGGCGCUCGACUUGAGGGCGAGAUCGUUCUCCGAGCCCCAAGUACACAAGGCUCUCCACCUCCUCGGCUACGCACUCCGUGACGAGGAGAGCGGCCACUACGAGUUCCUGGCGUUCGCGGAGAGAGCGGCGCGCAGCGGGCUGCUGACUCUGCUGCAGAAGCUGUCCGUCAGCCCGCGCGUGGACGCGCACCGGGCGCUCGCCAAGUGGCUCUUGCAGAAGAUGCGGUCGCUAUUGGGUCAAGGGGAUGAACACAUUGGGGAUGGCGAGAAUAUGGACACAGAUCAGGAACAAAAACCACCCGUGGACAGCACAGCCGAGGCAGAGAAAGCGCGCCGGGCGAAGCUAGCCGCGGAGAGGCGAGCCAAGGUGAUGGCGCAAAUGAAGAACCAAAUGAACAAGUUCAUUGCCAACAACACUACACUGUUCCAGGAAACUAACACUGAGGUGACAGAGGAAGAGGAGAAGCAAGACCUGUUGCCGCUGUACCGCGGCGCCGCGCUCGGUUGCUGGGGCGGCGGCGUGAGCGAGCCGCCGCGCGUCUGCAUAAUGUGUCAGGAGCAGGCUCGCGUGGAGGCGAUGGCGGAGCCGAUGGUGCUGGUGGCGUUCGCGCAGUGCUCCACCGUGCUGAGCCGGCGCGGCGUGGGCGCGAGCGGCGCGGACGCGUGGCGCAGCGCCUGGCUGCCGGCCGGGCUGGGCGCGCAGCCGCACGUGUCGUGCUGCGGGCACGCGCUGCACGCCAAGUGCUGGCGGAAGUACGUCGACGGCGUGCUCGAUAAGGAGAAGCUAAGACCGUACCGCAUCCGUCAGCCCACGGCCUUCGACGUGGAGAAGAAGGAGUACCUGUGCCCGCUGUGCGAGCGGCUGUGCAACACGGCGCUGCCGCUGCUGCCCGGGCCCGCCUUCCCCGCCUACCCGCCGCCGCCGCUCUGCGACCGCGCCUACACCGACGCGGUGGACCUCAUCAUACAGCUCAAGCACCAGGUGUGCUCGGAGUCAGUGCACCUGUGCACGGAGUACUGCGAGGACAUGCUGUGCACGGCGCGCGCGCGCUCCGUGGGCGCCGCGUCGUCCGACAUGGAGGACGAGUCGGCGGACGAGGCCGAGGUGUACGUCAGCACGCACGCCGAGAACCUGCUGCCGGCCGAGUUCCUGCUGCACUUCGACAACCCGCCGCAGCAGUACAACGACACCACCCGCUCGCUCAUCCAGGACUUCGCCAAGAUGCUUCCAGGAGUUUGUGGAGUCACGGAGUCGGGUGGCAUGGUGUCUGUGGCGACGCUGUGCCGCGCCACCGCCUACACCAUACUCAGCACCAACGCAGUGCUGCAGGCGGAGAAGAGGCCGCUACUGGGCGACCUACCCUCCCGACACAGAGACGCGUUACAAGCCCUCAUACGAUUGUCUGCAGUCAUCCCCGCAAUAUGGCCCACGUCCAAACAUGUCUCGCACCACGCAUUGAGUGCAUUGUGUACCUUAACAAAAACCUCCCCUUUGACACACGAAGUGUUCGGCACUCUAGUCGCAUUAGUCAUAACGACGCCCUCGAUAUUCUGCAAAACAUCCGGCCCCGCCAGACCCAAUUUCUUCGCGAGGCAGUUGACCUUGGAAGCGUUUAGAGCGACUCUCACUAGAGCUAUGAUAGCGACUGACGUCUCCUCGUGUACGGGAGGUACGGAGGAUCAAGUCAACAGUGAUUUGGAGAACCUCUUGCCGAUAAUGAAGGAACUGCGCAGAGGAAAUCUUGACACAGAUGGGUUAAACCCGAAUGCUGUUUGGGAGUGUGUCAGACAACAGUGUCACAAUUUCUUGAGAUGUUGCUGUCUGUUCUUCCACUUUUUGAGCGACAUCCAGCCGCCGGCGGAACUAACAGAAGUGAACGGAGACACGUGGGAAAGCAUGUGCGGUUAUAUAAGUAUGCCUCAGAGUUUUAGAGGCUUGAUAGACACAGUGAUAGCGAAAAAGAAGGUUAUGGCGUGGUCAGAGCUUUCAAAUGAUUGGUUCGCGGGUGAUAUUUUACCAAAAAUUGUUUUAGAACCCAGUGAACCGCCAAGACUAGUCACGUUGCCGGAAGACUUCUCUGAGCUGAUGAACGUGGUGUCAGAGUUCCCCUGCCCCAGCUCGGAGCGCGAGGACAGCAAGAACCCCACCAUGUGCCUGGUCUGCGGGCAGAUCCUGUGCUCGCAGAGCUACUGUUGCCAACUCGAUGUGCGCAAGCAUGGACGCGGAAGCGGCUCAGAGCUGGUGGGAGCGGUAGUGGCGCACGCGCUGACGUGCGGUGCGGGCGCCGGGGUGUUUCUUCGCGUGCGCGAGUGCGAGCUGCUGCUGCUGGCGGCGCCGUCGCGGGGCGCCAUGCUGCCCGCGCCCUACCUCGACAACUACGGCGAGACGGACCAGGGCUUACGGCGCGGGAACCCGCUGCACCUAUGUCCGGAGCGCUACGAGAAGUUGCGGAUGAUCUGGCUGAGCCACGGCAUCUACGAGCGCAUCGCGCGCGGCCUCGACACCAACAUGCUGGUCACCACCACGUGGCAGAACAUGUGAGUGCAUCGCCUGCUCAUCGCGCGCCGGCUCUACUACCGAUAACACCACACCCGUUGCACCUCGGAACGUGCAACGUUAAACUCGUUUCUAAUACGGAUCUUAGACUAUUCGCAGUGAAUAUAGCCUUUGUUUCAUGCAAUAACUGUUAAUUAUGAAUCUUGACAUAUAUGUUUAUAACAGGGUUGUUCAAACCAAAUACGAUCUAGAGCCAAUUCUGUAAGUUAUAUCUGCUACGUUGGUUGACCAUUACGAUGCUGUAUAUUAAGAUAGUGAUAAUCAUAAAUGAGGUCGUCACUCAUGGUUAUACUGGCCUUCUCAUAGCGCGCUGGCUCUACUACCGAUAACACGACGCACGUCGCUCGCUAGCGUCGGAACGUGCAACGUUAAAUUUGUUUCUAGUGGGUGAUUUGAAUUAGAAACGACCUUCAGCCAUUAAACUGAUGGGUCAAGGUCGUUUCUAAUACUGAUCUUUGACUAUUCGUAGUGAAUAUAGUCUUUGUUUCGUACAAGCAUGCAUUAAUAAACUGUAAAAUAUAAAUCUUGAUAAACUGUAAAAUACAAAUCUUGACAGAUAUGUUACAAUAGGGCUGUCAAAAACAAAUACAGUCUAGGGCCAAUUCUUUUCGUGUCAUCUCCUAUGAAGGAUGUCGACCAUUACUCCUAUCCUAACUUUAUAGGCGGCAGUUUACAACAAUGAUCUGGAGUGCUCCCGUACCAAUAUACCAAAAUCGUUGUCUUUUCGUCAAAAACAGAUCCGAUAUUUAUCAUGACCCCAAUACUGAAGUUUCCUAUAACAGUUCGAAUAGGACUAAAUCAUUGUAGGGCUACAUAAAAUUAAUUCAAGAAAACAGAACACAUAUUGUAUUUGGUCGCAUAUAAUAUAGAUCCGCAUCUAUUUGGUUUGGACAGCCCUGCGUUAUACGAUGUAACACGUGGUAACGUGUUUGUACGUGAAUGCAUUAGGUAUAUAGGUAACACGUAACACGUGCUUUUUAUGUGAUAUUUGUUUUAUUUUAUGCAAGAUCGAUUCGAUACUAAAUGAAAUAAACAAAACUGAAUUAAAUAGACUGUAGUAUCUUGCAAGCAGUUUAAAUACUAUAAAGACGUACGCGCACGCAUACUAAUGUGUGCGUAAAAAUGUGCGUUAAGAAGAAAUUUGUAGCGUCUUCCUUCUAAGAGCCAGAAAUUUUCGUUUUAAACUGUGUAUCUUUAGUCGAACGUGAUAAUGGAAAUUUACAGGUAUUAUCAAUGAUGUUAGAAGGUAGAUAGGUUACAUAAACCACAUUCUAUGUUUACAAUUGGCACGCAAAAACCAUUUCAGCGGUGUUGUCAACUGCGGCGACUGAGCUUAGGUUUGCUAAUUAGCAUAGUUUUAACGUGCCACUUGCGGUCCGCGUAUAACCUAUCUACCUCUUUUGGCUUCAACAUCAUUGGGUAUUUUGAUCGUUAUAGUAUUUCUUCAGAUCAAUUUGAUAUUACCUGCCCAGUUUAAAACUAUUUGAAUAUUACUUACCAAAAAUAUGUGACUCUUUAAUCAUACAAAAAAAAACUAAAACUAAGAUGUGAAAGCAUUCGAAAAAUAGAUUUUCGAUUAUAACUUUAAAUUUUUAACAUAAGCUAAAAUGGACCUUAUUUAUACUGCAAAAAGUAAACGCUCACGUACAAACUUGACGAUACCACGUGUUCAUGGGUAAAUCGCCUAAUUGAGUCUUCUGCCGUUUAGUACAGGGGUUUGGUACCUACACGGCGCAGGGGGAGGGGGGGGGGGGGGUCUCGUGCGCUUGUCAUAAUGUGCUGGUGACGGGGGGGAAGGACUACGCGGGUAUGAAACCAUGCGCGCGGGACAUCGCUGCUUCCCUCCCGGCCCGCGCGGACCAUCGGGAGUGUUGCGAACGAAUUUGCCAAACUGCCUUUCUCAGCAACAAACUGGAACUGAAUUCUUAUUCGAAGUCUUUAUUGAGCCACCUAUCCAAAUAAUUUAUAGAUCAAUGAUCGUUUCCCUCGGACAUACCCACAACUUCGUUCGUAACACUACUAUGGUCCGCGUGGGCCGGGGGGCGUGUAGCGAUGAAUGAAAAGUCCACGAUUGAUGCACCUCACUUCACACCCACGCAGUUUUUCCCCCCGUCGCCUGCAUAUCAUGGGAUUGUCAUCGACUUGCCAGAAUAUAUCCUGAAUUGCGCGGGCGAAGACUCAAAUCUGCGGUUCGCCUUGUAUAGAUGUUAGAUUUGAUGUGAUCACAUGUUUAGAGAUGACUAGAGCGCUAUUUUUAAUUAAUUAUUAUUAUUAUUAUUAAAUAUUGAUAAUAGAUUCUAGUGACGUUUAUGGCGUUUCAAAACACGCUUUGAAAUCUUGUUAAUUUGUUAGUACUCUUUAAUAUAGGCACACCUUGGGACUGACUCCUCGGUCUGCCCGGUACAGGGGUGGGGGGUAGUGACGUCAGAGGGUGGUAACUUAUUAUAAAUACAGAACUGCUGAAGAGCCGUGAUAGCCUAGCGGAAAUGACCUCUGCCUCCGAUUCCGGAGGGUGAGGGUUCGAAUCCGGUCCGGGGCAUGCACCUCCAACUUUUCAGUUGUGUGCAUAUUAAGAAAUUAAAUAUCACGUGUCUCAAACGGUGAAGGAAAACAUCGUGACCAGAGAAUUUUCUUAAUUCUCUGCGUGUGUGAAGUCUGCCAAUCCGCAUUGGGCCAGCGUGGUGAACUAUUGGCCUAACCCCUCUCAUUCUGAGAAGAGACUCGUGCUCAGCAGUGAGCCGAAUAUGGGUUGAUAAUGAUGAUAGCUGAACAAUAUGCAUUAUCCCUAUACAAGACCAAGUGUUGGUAGGGGUAUACAUAAUUUAUUUUUGUGCCUUGACUCGGGGUUCAAUUCAGAUUUUUUUUUUAAAUAUUCGGGAUUCUUUUUUAUUAAAAUACAGAUCUCAAAUAUCAUCUAAUAAUGUAAGCCGCAGACGAGGAUUCAAUUUUAGGGUGUGCUUUUAAAUUAAUUAUUAUUAUUAUAUUGGAGUAAUCAGAAUAAUAAGUAAGCUUAGAACGCCACAUUUGGACCAUCUUUCCUGUAAUAUAAAAAAAAGCAAUGAAACGCUUAUUAUUCUGAUAUAUCCAAUUUUGUAAUUAUUAAUAUAUUCUCUUCUGACGGUAAAAAAUCUGGAAUAAUUUGAUUAUGCGAGGUUGAAAGUUUUAAGGUUAAACAAACACAUGGCUUUAUAUUUUUAAUUCAAUAGAAAUUUCUUUUCUCAUAAUUAAUUUACUUACUUGGCUUAGUUGGUUCAAAGAAAAUUAAAUCCAGUUUAUUUUAAUUCAAAUACAAUGUUUUUUUUAUAUAUUUGUUUAUAGAUAGGUAUAUAUUGUUGAGCUGUUAAAAUAAUUCAUAAAAAAAAUUGAUUUUUAAAGUCACUCUUAAAUUACACACAUUUAAAUACUUUCUGACAAUAUCAUGUAACUGUAAUAAUUAUUUUUGUAAUGGUAUGAAAAAAGUACUAAAUGGCGUAUUUAGAUAUUUUUUUUUUAUUCUUUACAAGUUAGCCCUCGACUACAAUCUCACCUGAUGGUAAGUGAUGAUGCGGUCUAAGAUGGAAGCGGGCUAACUUAUUAGGAGGAGGAUGAAAACCCACACUCCUUUCGGUUUCUACACGGCAUCGUACCGGAACGCUAAAUCGCUUGGCGGUACGUCUUUGCCGGUAGGGUGGUAAUUAGCCACGGCCAAAGCCAAAAAAAUAAAAUUUAGAAUAAUCAGGCAAUGAAGAAGAACUCGACAUACGUAAUAUGUUGUUGAUUGUGAAAAUUUUAAUAUUUUAAAGGAAUAAGUCUGACUAAAUCCGACGAAGGUUCGCGUGAAUUCAGCUAUUAAACAUUAAUAUAACUCUAGCUACUGAUUUUGUUAAAAAUUAGCUUUUUUUUUGGGUUUUUUAAGUGCCGCGUAUUUUUUUCUAAGUAAAUAAUUUACCUACUUGAAAUUAGUUGGAAAAAAAAUGGGUUGACUUUAGUACUGGAAUUUAAUUGAUGUGUUUUUUUUUGUAAAGGUAAACGCAGAUGUACGGAGCGGUAUAAAACGCAGUUUAGACGUAUGUUUGUUUAUUUGAUAUAUUAAAUAAGCGGGUACUUCGCUGUUUGGCGUUGAUCCUAAAUAUGUCUUGGGCAACAACGAAAGAAAAACACGACGCUAAUAUGUCGUGACUGCAAGCGGGCGCGUUGGCGUUUUUAUCACUGGUUGUCAUCCGCCGCAGAUUCCGCAUACGUGAUACGCUAUCACUGGGACCUACACUAAAAAUUACACCGUAUCGGGAAUUUUGAAAUUGCAACCUCGCUCUUCCAAUCGGCUAUGGUAAGGACAGUAUUAAAAUACUUGAACAAAUAUCAUGGCUUUUUAGACACACGGCACAUUAUUUCUGGCAGAAAAGAUGGCCAUUUUAUAUAAUUUUGUGAGAUGUGGUUAAUAAUAUUUAUAUAUAAAACGCUAAGGAGAUAAUUAAACGGACAGUUGACGGUUAGUGGCAGGCGACCUCAGAUCGUACGCUUCGGACGCAUCGCAUCAAACGGAUUUUAGUAUUAUCUGUAUAGAAUGUCAUACAAGUGCGUCUACUGAUCCGCACUGUACGGAUUGCAUCGAAUGGAUUUUAUAGUAAAAUUAAAGAUACGUUUGAUGCAAUUCGUCCGACACGUACGAUAUGAAUCUGUGGGCGCCUAUCAAGAAAGAUCCGUAGGUGAUUUACAAGAAUAUCAGUCCUUCGUGACCAUGAAAAAUGUAAAUUUACAAUUCACCUGUUUUGUGUUGCAGGACAAUAUCUCUUGCGUAGAUGUAUAGCAUCAAAAUGAGAUUAUCUGUGGUAGCCCAAACCGGUAGACUGCAUAUUGUUAUUUAAUCUUAAACCUUGUUUAAAGUUGACAUUUAGUAUUGGCGCACUUACUACGUGACGCAUUCUACACCAUAGUCGAUGUUAAAUUGUAAAUAUAGUUUACCAACAUAAAUUACUUUUAUAUUAUUAUCAUUUGUAUUGUGUUUGUGCAAUAUUUUCAUAUUUUUUUUGUGUGAUUCAUAAUGUUAGCUAGUAAUAAAUAGUUUGUAAACGCUCGCGCAUAUGAAGGCGAGACGUAUUUCGAUGAUUUGUAAAAAAAAACUUUAUUAUUUGUUUAGAAAUAUAGACGGUGACAUUUUUAUCGAUUGCGGUUAAUUGUCUUAUCUGCUAGAGCGCGCGCACGAUAAGUUUUCGCGUGGCCAAAAUCGGAAAUAAUCAAAAGUGUCUAUCUCUAUCUAUCUCUUGGCGGGUAAAAGAGAUCACUAAUACUGGCAACAUAAUUGCGCCGCCAGUUGCGCGCUGACUUAUCUUGCACGCACUCUACAUAUUUCUCUACCUGACAUGAUUUUACAGAUAGAGAGGAAUUCGAACAUCUUACACUGAUUAGUUAUGAAAACUUCGUUACAGAUUAACAUAUUAUGCUAGUGUGAACGAGCUGUUAUUCCUGUCAAUGUAAUUAUGAUUGUGAUCACAAUGAUGAUGUAGUUAGAUACUGGUUUCCAUUUAAUUAAAAAUAUUUUUUACUGACCUUAUAUUUAAUUGAUUUAGUGAAAAUUACAAAAAUAAAAAAAAUCGGAACACGACCCGCCAUGGUGUGCGCUGGCCCUUAUAGUGUCGUCCUUAAAAGGUUGUACAAAAAUAUAACACCAAUUUAAAUCUUAUAGUGUACGAAAUAAAUUGUAUUUUCGUUUGAACUUGCCAUUUAUGCCUUGUAUGUAUAUUUUUUGCUUCCGCACGACUCCGCCCCGAUCUUCUCGUGGGGUUAAACUAAGGUUUUUUUUCUGAAAUAAAUGAUUUUCAAUGUA